CCCUUAGAUGUUCUGGGCCGCACGCGUGCUACACUGACCGGCGCAACAAGCUUUUUUCCUUGGCUCGACAGGCCUGGGUAAUCUUCGAACGCCGGUCGUGAUGGGGAUAGAUCCUUGCAAUUUUUGAUCUUCAACGAGGAAUUCCUAGUAAAUGCGAGUCAUCAUCUCGCGUUGAUUACGUCCCUGCCCUUUGUACACACCGCCCGUCGCUACUACCGAUUGAACGUUUUAGUGAGGUAUUUGGACUGGACCUUCGGAGGUUCGCGCCUCCGUUGCUGUUCGGGAAGACUCCCAAACUUGAGCGUUUAGAGGAAGUAAAAGUCGUAACA
rnacentral:rRNA from 1 species